rnacentral:rRNA from 1 species
GACGAACGCUGGCGGCGUGCUUAACACAUGCAAGUCGAACGGAAAGGCCCUGCUUUUGUGGGGUGCUCGAGUGGCGAACGGGUGAGUAACACGUGAGUAACCUGCCCUUGACUUUGGGAUAACUUCAGGAAACUGGGGCUAAUACCGGAUAGGAGCUCCUGCUGCAUGGUGGGGGUUGGAAAGUUUCGGCGGUUGGGGAUGGACUCGCGGCUUAUCAGCUUGUUGGUGGGGUAGUGGCUUACCAAGGCUUUGACGGGUAGCCGGCCUGAGAGGGUGACCGGCAACAUUGCGACUGAGAUACGGCCCAGCCGCCUACGGGCGGGAGCAGUGGGGAACAUUGCACAAUGGACGGAAGCAUGAUGCAGCAACGCCUCGUGCGGGAUGACGGCCUUCGGGUUGUAAACCGCUUUCGCCUGUGACGAAGCGUGAGUGACGGUAAUGGAUAAAGAAGCACCGGCUAACUACGUG